rnacentral:rRNA from 1 species
CCGAAAGGCAGGAGUGCCUGCAAGGGAGCGCGGAGACAGGUGGUGCAUGGCUGUCGUCAGCUCGUGUCGUGAGAUGUUGGGUUAAGCCCCGCAACGAGCGCAACCCUCACCUCUUGUUGCCAUCAGGUCAUGCUGGGCACUCUAGAGGAACUGCCCCGGUCAACGGGGAGGAAGGCGGGGAUGACGUCAAGUCAUCAUGCCCCUUACGUCCUGGGCUACACACGUGCUACAAUGGCCGGUACAAAGGGAUGCCACACCGCGAGGUAGAGCUAAACCCAAAAAGCCGGUCUAAGUUCGGAUUGGAGUCUGCAACUCGACUCCAUGAAGGAGGAAUCGCUAGUAAUCGCGUAUCAGCACGACGCGGUGAAUACGUUCCCGGGCCUUGUACACACCGCCCGUCACACCACGAAAGCCAG